GCUAAAUAGUUCUUACUACAUGUCAGUUUGUAUAGAGGACAACUCCAGAAGUCAAGGUCCUGAAGACAGUCCAGCAUCAGUAGGAUUGAAAGUAUGGAAGACCGUGCCAUUUGUUGAAGAUACACUCGUCUCUGGAACAGAAGCUGUAAAACUUAUUGCCUGACUACUGAAACAUUGUUGUGAAACACACUUGGUCCAGCACCAAUAGGUUUUGGUCUCUGCCCACUGAAACGUCAUUUUUCCUGUGUUGGCUCUCUUCUCUUGGUGGAAACAUUGUUGGUCUGAGCUGCCAUUCAAUGGCUGGCAUUACAUUACCGUAUGUAUCUUCAGAGUUUGUUUGCACAACAAUGGCUGGUAUUUUUAUCAAGGAAAGCACACUCUUAAUCUA